GCAGUGGGUGGCUUAGUAGGUACAGCCUAGGGUUUGUGAUGUUAAGGUCCCGGGUUCGAAUCCCGCCUGAGGCA
rnacentral:tRNA from 1 species